GGCAAUAACUUCAAAUGCUAACUUCAAACUUUCAUUGAGAGCAUAGAUUCUAUAGCAACCAAGUAACAAUGACAACAAAAUUGCAUUCCAUUGAUUGAAGCUUUUUAAAGAAAGCAUAAAUCCUGCUGAGAUGUUUAAGUUUGGAGCAACCUUCUUGAUGUACAAACAAAUUAAAUAAAUAAAAGACACUUACCCAGGAUCUUAACAAGCUGUUUUGCUCGUACCUUUGAAACGCAAUUGAAUGAGCUGGGAAUGUGAGACUACGACAACCUUUCCCUUGUGUAAUGUCAACGUCGGCUAUCACUUUGGCAGAAUCAGCCAGCUCAGUGAAGACAUGAAAACCCUCCUUCCCUCCUGUUUUUUCAUCUGCUGGUGGCAUUCAAAGUGACCUUCCCUUAUAAAUAUUGGAACUACGUUUCUCCAUGAUUAGACUUUUUAACCAUUCCAUUUGGACAGCAUCUCUGUGGAGCCAUUGUGCCAAGCAAGUCCUGGUAUGAAAUUCAAUUUCAAUGUAUUUCUGAAAAAAACGUAAUUUAAUGUAAAAUUUAUCUAAGCUCCUCAUG
rnacentral:lncRNA from 1 species